rnacentral:rRNA from 1 species
UACGUAGGGGGCUAGCGUUGUCCGGAAUCAUUGGGCGUAAAGAGCGCGUAGGCGGCCAGAUAAGUCCGGUGUGAAAGUCACAGGCUCAACCUGUGAAUGCCGCUGGAAACUGUCUGGCUAGAGUCCGGAAGGGGCGAGUGGAAUUCCUGGUGUAGCGGUGGAAUGCGCAGAUAUCAGGAAGAACACCAACGGCGAAGGCAGCUCGCUGGGACGGUACUGACGCUGAGACGCGAAAGCGUGGGGAGCGAACAGG